CCUCGCCGCCCCGCCCGCAUCGCCCCGCCCUCUCCUCUCCCUGUCCCUCCCUCAGUCCUCGCUGCCCACAUCGCCGAUGCCCCUCAAACCACGCCGCGGUGGACCUCUCUCCUCGUCUCCCUCGCGCCACGCCGCCUGCAACCUCCCCCCUCCCGUCAUCAAAAAGGAAGGGGAGAGAAGAGGGAGAGCGAGCAGGUUCGGCGACAGCCAAGGGCUCGCAGAUCCGCCGGCGCCAUCGUCCGACCUCGGCCUCUGAGUGUGCUCACGCCAUGGCCUGCUCGAGACGCCGCCCUUCCCCCCUGCUCCAACCCUAACCCUAGCAUUGCUGCUGCUGGUCAAGGUGCACGCACGCGUCCAGCAGCGACCCCUAGCCUCGGACGGCAGCAGCGACCAUCACCAACGACGGCAGCUACAGGGGUGUGAUUUGGUUCUGCAGAUCAAGCCCUUUUCUCCUCCUCCUUUCCACUCCUCUUCAUUUCCAGGGUUAGGUGCAGGGCUAGCCAAUGAUGGCCUUUUUUCUUGUCUUGAUUCUGGUAAAGGCAGGAGUAUUAUUCUCUUUGCUUGUUUUGUGGAGUGUACCUCUAUGCCCUUUGUUUCUUUGUGCAUGGAAUGCUGGUGGUCUUGUUCCUUUGUGCAUGAAAGGCUGGCUUGUUUGGAAUUAGUGGUAUAGCUAGGUUCCAAGUAAGAGGGGUGUUUGUUUGUAUGUUGGAUAUAAAAAUAUAAACAUGAUCUUCAUCUGCUCCUUUGUUUCUACAUGGAUCACAUGGUCAUGUUAUGCGGGAGGAAAAAGAGAUUGCAGAUCACGAGCUUGCAAGGCUAAUUGGUUAGCGAUUCUUUAUCUUUGAGGUUCACCACGACCACAUUGCAGGUUUUAUGCGUGUAUGGCUCCCCUAAAAAGCAGUCCUCUUUGGUGCAGCAUGUUCUUCCAUUUGCUUGAUUGAUUGGUCUCGGGCUUUCUUGGGUUUAUUAAGUGGAAGAGCUAGAUUGGCCAGCCUAUACUGGAUUGUACAGGAAGAACGUGAUGUUGUUCUUUGCUGCUCGACCUGGCCUUGCUGCUCGACCACAUUGCCCCUAGUAAACACGACGUAGGCAGAUGUCAUUUAGUUUCAAUUAGCAUUGGGCACUGGCUUAUGCUGAAUAUUAUAAUUGUAGGAGCUUGCGGUCAAGCUGAUUUAUUGUCUCGAGAAGUGGGCCUUGGGAGUUGUUAAUUGGCUAAACAUGUACCUUCUGGGAGUUGUUUUAUUUGAUGGUUUGAUGGCAUUCAAUGCACUGUCUGAACUCCAUCCCGGUAACUCGCUCAAGCAUUCCUGUGGGUAUGUGUCACGUCUUUGGCAUCACUGCGGUGGAACUGAUAAUGGGCCUAGCAAGCACACAGAGAUAUGGUUACACUUGACGCUAAGCAGGGUAACCAUAGGUAUGCAAACAUCCCUGAAAAAUUUGUGCACCAGUUUAUGGAUGUGUUCAAGAAGGCAGGGUCUAUGGUAUCCGCAAAUUCUUAGUCUUCAGCAAGAAAUAUGUCUUGUGGCCAGUGGAGAGUCACAGUACAUGAUCAGGUUCAAAAGGUACACGAUUGUUGUUUGGAGGGAUGAUCUAGAAGCAGAGUCUCCUUUCUGCAGUUAUGCCCCGACACCAGUUAGUCAGCUUCCUAGGCCUAUAAAUAUGCCCGAGUGUAUCACAGAUUCUUCAGGUUGGUGAGAAGGAUCGGGGCAACUUUAUAUCUAUUGGGGCUUUGCUAAAGGCUUUUGAAGAAUACAGAUAUAUCUAGCGAACUUUGGUGGACAACUAAUUUGCCAGGCAGAUGCUUUCCUCUGCUCGGUCAAAGAUGUGUCAGUCCCAAGUACAGUCUAUCAGCGGCUGCGCAACAUUGAAAUUGGCCAGAGAUGAUCAUCAAACAUAAGCUUAGGGAUCAAGGGAUGGCCUUCCUUAUCGGUGGUGGAUCAGUAAUGCAGAAAAUUCUUGCUCCCCGGGAAGUGAUUACUGUCGAUUGUGCUUGUAUUUUGGCUAUGACAACCGCCAUCAACUUUUGGGUAUAGAACCCUACCCCACAUAGAAGAGGAGUCCUUGUAUUUGGGAUGCAAAAUGGAGCCGGCGACCAACCCUUCUUCCUCGCCCUCAGCCUUGACACCACCGUUGACGCCUCCAAGAGCAGUCGGGCAUCGGCGUCGCCGCCGGCAAGGCAACAUGCGUUGCAACAUGCAACCAAAUCAAAUGGAGUGUGGACAAAGUUAUAUAUCAAGCAAAUUGGAUGAAGAUGUGUGGACAAAGUUAUAUAUCUAAUAUUCAACCAUGUAGUUUACUAUUAUGCAGUGUGAAAAACGGUGUACAUCAAUUAUCUGGGACUAAUACUAUGGCCUGCUUUUGAUUUCUACGACGCCGAACCUUACUUAGAUAGGGCCAUUUUUUAGAUAUUUUACGGAGUGUUUACUGUUGUUAGUAUCUAACAUCACCUCCUCUGUGAGUAAUAUCAGAUAUAUUUCCAUCC